rnacentral:rRNA from 1 species
CGGUUAUACGAGAGGCCCCAGUUGAUAAUAUUACGGCGUAAAGGGUGGUUAAGGAGUAUAAUAAAAUAAAGCCGAACUGCCCCCCGGCCGUCAUACGCUUCCGGGUGCUAGAAGCCCAACUUCACGAAAGUGGCUUUAGAAAAAUCCGCCUGACCCCACGAAAGCUGAGAAACAAACUGGGAUUAGAUACCCCACUAUGCUCAGCCAUAAACCCAGACAUUUAAAUACACUUUAUGUCCGCCAGGGUACUACGAGCAUUAGCUUAAAACCCAAAGGACCUGACGGUGCCUCAGACCCCCCUAGAGGAGCCUGUUCUAGAACCGAUAACCCCCGUUAAACCUCACCACUUCUAGUUAUCCCAGCCUAUAUACCGCCGUCGCCAGCUUACCCUGUGAAGGUAAUAAGAGUAAGCAAAAUGGGCACAACCCAGAACGUCAGGUCGAGGUGUAGCGCACGAAGUGGGAAGAAAUGGGCUACAUUUUCUAUUAUAGAAUACUACGAAUAUGCAACAUGAAAUAGUGCUUGAAGGAGGAUUUAGUAGUAAAAAGGAAGAAGAGUGUCCUUUUGAACCCGGCUCUGAGACGCGUACACACCGCCCGUCACUCUCCCCUGUCAAAAUGCAAUUAAUAUACUUAAUCCUAAAGCGCUGACGAGGGGAGGCAAGUCGUAACAUGGUAAGUGUACCGGAAGGUGCACUUGG